AGUUGAACCAAGGAAUUCCGCAAAGCAUUUGAGAGGAGAUUAUCUGAUCAGAUAACAAGCAAGCAGAAAACAUGGUGAAGAGCACGUCAACAAAAUCCAUUCUCCUAGUGUUCGCAUUCGCCUUGGCCAUAGCUUUCUCCUUCUCAAAGAUGGAAGCCGCUCACACUGAUAUGCUGGACAGUGCAACCACAACAAAGGGCAUCCUCCCUGGCUGUUAUCUCCGGCCUUGCAAAACGGCUACAGAUUGCAAAUCACCAUGUACCCGUUGUGCAUUAGAUCUUUGUGCAGGAGGUUGAAUGGAGAAUGAAGAAUAUCAUCCAUUUCACAUUUGCAUAUGAAUUUGCACUUUCCUGGUUUCCAUGUUUUUUUUUUGUUUUCCCAUUUGUAAUGAAUAACAUUGGCCUGCCUCUCUUCAGAAAUUAUUAGUGUUGUGUCGUGAUGCUGUGCUGUGUUGGAUUUGCAAAAUGUGUUUGGAUUCAUCUACAGGAAUAAAAUUCGUUAUUGACAAA